GUCAUUGCACCUCUCAAGCGUAGCUUGGUAUUGGGCGGUCGCCCCUCGAGGCGAGCCCGAAAGGCAGUGGCGGUCCGGCGAGACUUCAAGCGUAGUAAAUUUCCAUCCCGCUUGGCAAGCUCUCGUCGUGGCCCGCCAGACAACCCCCGCAUCUCUCAAUGAUUGACCUCGGAUCAGGUAGGGAUACCCGCUGAACUUAA
rnacentral:misc_RNA from 1 species